UCGAACGAGGGCUUCGGCCCUAGUGGCGCACGGGUGAGUAACACGUGGGAACCUGCCUUUCGGUUCGGGAUAACGUCUGGAAACGGACGCUAACACCGGAUACGUCCUUCGGGAGAAAGUUUACGCCAAGAGAGGGGCCCGCGUCCGAUUAGGUAGUUGGUGGGGUAAUGGCCCACCAAGCCGACGAUCGGUAGCUGGUCUGAGAGGAUGAUCAGCCACACUGGGACUGAGACACGGCCCAGACUCCUACGGGAGGCAGCAGUGGGGAAUAUUGGACAAUGGGGGCAACCCUGAUCCAGCAAUGCCGCGUGAGUGAUGAAGGCCUUAGGGUUGUAAAGCUCUUUCGCACGCGACGAUGAUGACGGUAGCGUGAGAAGAAGCCCCGGCUAACUUCGUGCCAGCAGCCGCGGUAAUACGAAGGGGGCGAGCGUUG
rnacentral:rRNA from 1 species